GAAACUAUUUCUUAUGCAAGACUUACUUUAAAAAACUUGAGAUAAAUAUUCUUCUGUAUGCACUUGCACAUUUUAGAUUAGACGUUGUUUUAAAAAUGACAAAUAGUGCUUGCAGUUGUUCCUGUCGUUGUCGGUAUGACGUAUACUAGACUGAUUUAGAGAACAUAACGCGAACUGAAAGACCCGCCUUCGAAACAAAGAUACUUUUUAAGCAAAACAAAAAGUUUGAAUAAUUUGUGGCUCAGGGGUACCUUCAACCACAGAAUAAGAAGGUUCAGCAGAAGCGUGACUCAAGCAAGUAUUUGUCCGCGUUUUUACAAGCGAUUCGUCAUCAAUCACGUCAUCUUGGCUAGUACAACCGGCACUUUGUACCUACCAAAACCUGAUAAAAACGUCUGGUUGUACUAGCCAGGAUAGCGUGAGCGAGUUAAAAUUUUCGUGGGCGUAAAACAAUAAGGGAACCGACUCGAGGUACACUUCUGCUGUACCUUCUUAUUCUUGUGAUUCAACGUUGUCAUUCUGAAUGCAACAUUAAAAUAAGAUUUCACGUCAUUGUCGUCAUUGGAGCAAAGUGAAUGCUUGUUGCGAGUCUUGCGACGUUGUAGGAGUUACAUAAAAUCUGUUUCGUAGCAGAGGUCAUAGUUAUAUAUGCAUGAGUAAGCCUGGGACUGCUUGGGACGAUUACAUAAUUGUUAGUAUAAAUAGAGUUUUUGUAAAUAGACUAUCAUAUCAUGAAAUAGUAGUUAGAAUAAAGUAGUUCACCGUUUAUGAUCAUCACAGCAGACACCGCGGAUCAUUUUUUCCCGAUCUUACAGCCGUUUGUAAGCCUAAGGUUAUUUUAAAAAGCUUCAAUUUAUUCCAGUAAUCAAGUCCUUAGCUCUCAAUCUUGAAGUGAAAUUCAGACCGCAUCGUCGUCUUUUCGAAAUCUGUCUACUAACAUCGAAAUGGACCUGAAACUGGUCCGACAAAUUGUAAACGUACCCUUAGAGAUAAUAAACUUCUUAGGAAUCGUACUUGCAUUAACAGGAAGUUAUCUCAUUCAAGGUUUUAUUUUCGCUGCGUUUACACACUGCGAUUGAUUAGUGUUAACUUGUUGAUCAUUUGUUAAUUUUAAAUAAAGUAUUGCCUGCCUGAUUCGCUUUCUGGCGUAUGUCAUUGAGUAAACACGCGUAAGCUGGCUACAUUUGAAAUUUCUUUUUAACGAAACGGCAAGU